GGGGGCGAUCCGGUUUCGACGGGAGGAUUUGAAGUCUGAGCUGCGCGCCGGGGACGCCACUUGGCCCCGUUAUCAAUGUGGCAAAAUCACACCAGCCGAUAACGAGCUGGCUCUCGCUGCCUAGACGCUAGCGAGCGUUCCCCCUCGCCUCGUCCGCGGGCGGGGUGCGGAACGUCAUGAUGCGGACUAGCCGACCCAGGUUUCGGUCCGGAGCCUGCUAGGCGAAUUCGAAUCGGACUAGCCCGGAGGAUGGCCCGCCGGUGGGCUUGGUCCCGGGCGAAACCCUCACCACCGGCUACGCGCGUAGACGCUCACGACGGAAGCCUUUCGGACGCGGGUUCGAUUCCCGCCGCCUCCACCA
rnacentral:tmRNA from 1 species